rnacentral:rRNA from 1 species
UACGUAGGGGGCUAGCGUUGUCCGGAAUCAUUGGGCGUAAAGCGCGUGUAGGCGGUUCGGUAAGUCUGCUGUGAAAGUCGGGGGCUCAACCCUCGAAUGCCGGUGGAUACUGUCGGACUAGAGUGCGGAAGAGGCGAGUGGAAUUCCUGGUGUAGCGGUGAAAUGCGCAGAUAUCAGGAGGAACACCAAUUGCGAAGGCAGCUCGCUGGGACGUUACUGACGCUGAGACGCGAAAGCGUGGGUAGCAAACAGG